rnacentral:rRNA from 1 species
GGGGGGGGGGGGGGGGGGGGGGGGGGGGGGGGGGGGGGGGGGACUGGAACGGGCUGGCUUGGGUGAGUGGGUGGCGGAGGGGUUCGUAAACCGUGAGCAACCUGCCUCUCAGUGGGGGCUAGGGUGUGGACACGGGUGGUAAGACCCGAUCAAAUAUAGAUCGCGCUUGAUUGAGAUGUCAAAGCAAAUCGCGCAUAGGUGGGCUCGGGUCUGAUUAGAUAGGUGGUGAGGUCGAUGCUCAGCAAGUCGACGAUCAGUAGCCGGACUGAGAGGAUGAACGGCUACAGUGGGACUGAGACACGGCACAGAAUCCUACGGGAGGCAGAAGUGGGUAAUAGUGCAAAAUGGAGGGAACUCAGAUGCAGCGAUGCCGCGUGGAGGAAGAAGGUUUUCGGAUUGGAAACUCCUUUUAUCAGGGACGAUAAUGACGGUACCUGAAGAAAAAGCGACGGCUAACUACGUG